rnacentral:rRNA from 1 species
GACGAACGCUGGCGGCGUGCUUAACACAUGCAAGUCGAACGAUGAAGCCGGAGCUUGCUCUGGUGAAUUAGUGGCGAACGGGUGAGUAACACGUGAGUAACCUGCCCUUGACUCUGGGAUAACUGCGGGAAACUGUAGCUAAUACCGGAUACUUUCACUGGAAGGCAUCUUCUGGUGAAGAAAGAAUUUCGGUCAAGGAUGAGCUCGCGGCCUAUCAGCUUGUUGGUGAGGUAACGGCUCACCAAGGGGACGACGGGUAGCCGGCCUGAGAGGGUGACCGGCCACACUGGGACUGAGACACGGCCCAGACUCCUACGGGAGGCAGCAGUGGGGAAUAUUGCACAAUGGGCGCAAGCCUGAUGCAGCAACGCCGCGUGAGGGAUGAAGGCCUUCGGGUUGUAAACCUCUUUUAGCAGGGAAGAAGCGAAAGUGACGGUACCUGCAGAAAAAGCACCGGCUAACUACGUGCCAGCCGCCGCCGUAA